GAGGGAAGGAGGGAGGGAGGGGGCCGGGCCGGCCGCUCCGUCACCCGGCAACGGGACUCAGCGCCCCGGCGGACCGCGCCGCCGGCUCCGCCCCGUAUCCCUCCGCCCAGAGGGCGGCCCGGAUCCCUGAUCCCGAUCCGUGGGGCUGCGCCGGGCGGGAGGGAAGGGGCUAGCGACCAUCGCGCCGGUGGGCGGGAGAUGACGGGACCGGUCUGCUCUGCUCUGUCCCGUACUCAUCCCUGUCCCUAUCUCUGUCGGCCGCAGGGCCCGGGCACCGGCGAGCCGCCUUCAUGUCGGGGCCGCGGCGCAGGAAGGGCGGGGGGAGGAGGGGAAGUGUCCUUUGCCCUGGUUGUACAGCCUCCCGCCCGCCGGAGAGCGCCGCGCUGCCCGCCGGCCGCCCCGUGAGGGAAGCGGCGGGCGAGGCGCUCGGGAGGUACCGGGCGGGCGGCGGCAGCGGCGCCGGGCCGCGGGGCCGCCGCUGAGGCGGGAGAGGCGGCGGCCGGAAGCUCCCGCGCCCCUCCGGAGGGCUGUGCGCCGGGAGGGGAACACCCAGGCAGGGCCGGCGCAGGAAUGCGAGGGAGGGAGCGGGGGAUAAUGAUGGAGCGUAGCGGUGUUUGUCAUGUGAGGUCCUUUUGAAAUCCUGAACGACUCCGAGAGCGAGAUUUUUAUUCCUGGGAGCAUACUUUCAUAGAUGCAUGUUCUUCUGCACAAUGAAGAGUAUUUGACUUUGAACUUUUCCAGAUGUGAACAUUGAAUGCAGGACCAGCAGUGGCACUGACUGUCUGCAGAAAAGAUGCUGGCAUGUGCUGGGGAGACAAAUGUUUGUUAGAAGAAAUGGACUUGGAAUUUAGCCCACAGCUAAACCUGCUUAGAGCUGAAGUGCUCUUGUGCAGUAUAAAGGCAGCACUUUGACUUUGGCCUCUGUAGUUCAGGAAUUAUCUGGACAGCAGACACACAACAAGAGUCAAAUCAGAGUGGAAACCUUGAUGCUGGUCAGCCAUUUAUUCCUCUUAGCUUCUUAGAGUACAGGUGGCUUUUUUCAGCUUAAAAUGAUGAGAUUAACAUAGAUUCUUUGGCUUCAUUUCUCAGCCAGCAAAAGAGCAAUAUAUUUACCUUGAAGGAAGAAAAUAUAUUUGUUAUGAAAAAUACUCACCGGAGAACUUUGGAAAAAGAAAACGCGGUUUCUUCUUGUUUUUUUAUUAAAGGUGGUAAAGCACAGGCUUCCUUACUGCCCUGUCAUCAAAAACAAUGGGUUUAGCUCUAAUUUGUUAUAAGAGUUAUACUUAUGCAGGAUGUUCUCAGCUAAUCCAUCCAGCUACCAGCAAAGGAAUUUCAUGAGGCUUGGAUGCUAUUGGAGUUGAACAGGUAAUUUAUUUGCAUCUGCA